UGCCAAGGAUUCUGUAGCAAUCUCUGUGGU
rnacentral:piRNA from 1 species